rnacentral:rRNA from 1 species
UACGGAGGGUGCAAGCGUUAUCCGGAUUCACUGGGUUUAAAGGGUGCGUAGGUGGGCAGGUAAGUCAGUGGUGAAAUCUCCGGGCUUAACUCGGAAACUGCCAUUGAUACUAUCUGUCUUGAAUACCGUGGAGGUCAGCGGAAUAUGUCAUGUAGCGGUGAAAUGCUUAGAUAUGACAUAGAACACCAGUUGCGAAGGCAGCUGGCUACACGAAUAUUGACACUGAUGCACGAAAGCGUGGGGAUCAAACAGG